rnacentral:misc_RNA from 1 species
UGUACUCUCACACUCUCUGAUCCUUUGGAUUCAGGGAGCGGUGGACUUGGGUGUUGCUGCUUUUCCUUGUGGCUCACCUCAAAUGUGUUAGUGCACCUCUUGGUUGGACAUAGAACGGCGUGAUAAGUGUCUUCGCCGGCACCUCGCAAGAGGGUGGCCAAUUGGGAGCUCUGUGCUUUCAAACCGUCUUCGGACAAUCUCUGACA